AUUUUAAACACUCACAGUGCACUUAAAUCAUUAUAUGCCUGUAGCACAAUUUGUUCAUUCACAAAACCAAAUUACAUCAACAUACUGUAAAGUGAAAUCUAAGUUUGACAUUUUCUCAAACACUUAGAGUGCACUUCAACCAUCCUACCAUUCUAUAACAUUUGGUCCAUUCACGGAUCCAAAUUACAACACACAAUAAUCUGACAAAGUUCUAUACAUCAAUACUUCAACUAGAAUGUCCUCUUCAUAUUUUUCAAGCAUUUAGGAAUUCCUCUCCAAUAUCUUCAUCCCAGACCCAUUGAAUUCCAAAUGUAGAGUCGACAUUUUAAAAACUAGUUCGCAGACAAAAGGGAAUGCCAUCAUCAAAGCAAACAGUAGAACGAUGAACACCGGUUUGUGGAGUUGUGCUCUUCCCCUUUCCAGAUUGACCAAAAAAAAAAGUAAACCCAAAGCAUUUGAUUUGAAUUAGUGAGUUAUGAAGAUGAAAGAAAAUUUGAUCAGAGGGAUUCUCGGAGAUGAUGUAAACGUUAGAGGAGAGACGACUAAUGUUGAAGAUGAAGAGACUGAUUCUCAGAGAUGAUGUAAAAGUUAAAAGUGUAUUUUUUUUAUUAGGAGAUAACACUGUUAAGUUAGAGUUAAUUGAUAUUAAAAAAAGGCCAAGUGUCAAAUUUUAAGUGGGGGGACAGAGGGGGACAGACAAAUUAAGAACAGAGGAUCUGCUCUCGUAAACUAGACAGUUUUGUCCAGUUAUCGAGAAUUACUUGUAAGUAAAUACUUCUAUACUCCCUCCGUAUCACUUUUUAUGGAGGGUUGUAAAUGGGAGUAUAAAAC
rnacentral:lncRNA from 1 species